rnacentral:rRNA from 1 species
AUAUCAAUAAGCGGAGGAAAAGAAAAUAACAAUGAUUCCCCUAGUAACUGCGAGUGAAGAGGGACAAGCUCAAAUUUUAAAUCUGUCGGGUUUUUCCUGACCGAGUUGUAAUUUGAAGAAGCGUUUUCUGCACUGUUUGAUCAGCCCAAGUCCUAUUGAAUGAGGCAUCAUGGAGGGUGAUAAUCCCGUCCGGUUGAUCAUUGUGCUUUACGAUACGCUUUCAAAGAGUCAAGUUGUUUGGGAUUGCAGCUUAAAAUGGGAGGUAAAUUUCUCCUAGGGCUAAAUAACGGCGAGAGACCGAUAGCGAACAAGUACCGUGAGGGAAAGAUGAAAAGAACUUUGAAAAGAGAGUUAAACAGUACGUGAAAUUGUUGAAAGGGAAACGAUUGAAGCCAGUCGUACCUUCGGGUAAUCAGCCUUUCGGGUGCGAUUCUGUGAGGUGUGAGGAGUUAAACGCCUUCAUGUUUUGCAUAUUCGUGCUCUUGGGUGUACUUGCCCGUGUGGUUGGUUAACAUCAAUUUUGGACGCCAUAAAAUGACUGGAGGAAUGUAGCUUCGAUCUCGUAUUGAAGUGUUAUAGCCUUCGGUAGAUGUGGUUUUCGAGAUUGAGGAUUGCAACGGAUACCCUUCGGGGCUACUUAUCUGAUCUCUGAUCGUUGCUCUGGUGCCGAAAGCUUGCUUACGGUUAUCAAAGUCGAUGGUCAAUAGGUUAGAAUAGGUUAAAUUCGUUAAGGAUGUUGACGUAAUGGCUUUAAACGA